rnacentral:rRNA from 1 species
UACGUAGGGUGCGAGCGUUGUCCGGAAUUAUUGGGCGUAAAGGGCUCGUAGGCGGUUUGUCGCGUCGGGAGUGAAAACCAGGUGCUUAACACCUGGCUUGCUUUCGAUACGGGCAGACUAGAGGUAUGCAGGGGAGAACGGAAUUCCUGGUGUAGCGGUGAAAUGCGCAGAUAUCAGGAGGAACACCGGUGGCGAAGGCGGCAUCCUGGACCGGCAUUGACGCUGAGGAGCGAAAGCCAGGGGAGCAAACGGG